AGAGUUUGAUCAUGGCUCAGAAUCAACGCUGGCGGCGUGCCUAACACAUGCAAGUCGAACGCGAAAGCCCCGCAAGGGGCAAGUAGAGUGGCAAACGGGUGAGUAACACGUGGGUGACCUGCCUUCGAGCGGGGGAUAACGUCCCGAAAGGGACGCUAAUACCGCAUAACAUCCUGCCUUUGAAGAGGUGGAGAUCAAAGCUGGGGAUCGCAAGACCCGGCACUUGAAGAGGGGCCCGCGUCUGAUUAGCUAGUUGGUGGGGUAACGGCCUACCAAGGCAACGAUCAGUAUCCGGCCUGAGAGGGCGGACGGACACACUGGGACUGAGACACGGCCCAGACUCCUACGGGAGGCAGCAGUGGGGAAUUGUUCGCAAUGGGCGCAAGCCUGACGACGCAACGCCGCGUGGAGGAUGAAGAUUUUCGGAUCGUAAACUCCUGUCGAAUGGGACGAAUAGGUAGCGGGUUAACAGCCCGCAACCCUGACGGUACCGUUAAAGGAAACCCCGGCUAACUCCGUGCCAGCAGCCGCGGUAAUACGGGGGGGGUAAGCGUUGUUCGGAAUUACUGGGCGUAAAGGGCUCGUAGGCGGCCAACUAAGUCAUACGUGAAAUCCCUCAGCUUAACUGGGGAACUGCGUGUGAUACUGGAUGGCUUGUAUUUGGGAGAGGGAUGCGGAAUUCCAGGUGUAGCGGUGAAAUGCGUAGAUAUCUGGAGGAACACCGGUGGCGAAGCGGCAUCCUGUACCAAUAUUGACGCUGAGGAGCGAAAGCUAGGGGAGCAAACGGGAUUAGAUACCCCGGUAGUCCUAGCCCUAAAC
rnacentral:rRNA from 1 species